rnacentral:lncRNA from 1 species
UUUUUUUUAUGCCCCACCUACAAUAGUAGAGGGGCAUUAUGUUUUCUGGUCUGUGCCUCCGUUCGUUCGUCCGUUCGUUCGUCCCGCUUCAGGUUAAAGUUUUUGGUCGAGGUAGUUUUUGAUGAAGUUGAAGUCCAAUCAAUUUGAAACUUAGUACACAUGUUCCCUAUGAUAUGACCUUUCUAAUUUUAAUGUCAAAUUAAAGUAUUGACCCCAAUUUCAUGGUCCACUGAACAAGAAAAGUAGUGGAAGCUCAGGUUAAAGUUUUGGUCAAGGUAGUUUUUGAUGAAGUUGAAGUCCAAUCAACUUGAAACUUAGUACACAUGUAAACUAUGAUAUGAUCUUUCUAAUUUUAAUGCCAAAUUAAAGUAUUGACCCCAAUUUCACGGUCCAGUGAACAUGUAAAAUGAUAGUGCGAGUGGGGCAGCCGUGUACUAUGGACACAUUCUUGUUUUUAAAUGACUUUAUCUUUUUGUGACAUAAAUGGGAAGAGGCUAUGGUAAUGUUAUGUUUAUCUAGGUCCAUUUAGAUGUCUGUUUUAUUUAUAAUUUAUUUAUCUAUUUCACCAAAUAUGGAAAAUGACAACCUUCAGUCUUAAAUGACAUUAUCAGUAAAUUUAAACAUUUGGAAAUCAUUUUUUUUUUUUGGAAUUAGGGGAGGGGGGAGAAAAUACAUUGAUAUUUUUUUUGGUGGGUGUGGGGAGUGGGUGAAAUUACAUCGAUAUUUUUUUCUUGGUGUGUGUGUUGGUGGGAAAUACUAUUCACAGGAAAUUGAGAUUAAAAGAUGUGUAUGAGUUUUAUUAAAUUUGACUACAAAGUACAAAAUGCGUGUACUAAUUUCUGUUUUGGCUUGUGAAAUUAUCAUGAUUAUAUUCUAUAGACUUUUCUGUUUGGACUUUUCUAUUUGGAGAAGAAAAACACUUUUGGGGCCAUUUUUUGUUUUAGUAGUAAAAUCCUUUAUGGACUUCUCUGUUUGGGCUUUAAAAAAAUCAGUUUGGGCUAUCAACAUUUUAGUUUCUGAAAAAGUGGUGCUUGUUUUACAGGGUAAAACACUUGGUUUCAAAAGCACUGCAUUAAAUUGUAUCAUUUUCAAUAAUAGAAUGAACUAGUCAGGAAAAUUAAAGUUUUGGUUUUAGGACAUAGAUAUAUAAGAGUCAUGAAGGUUAGAUUGCUGUCUCUUUGACACAUUUCCUAUGUCCAUACUCUGACACAUUUAUGUACCCCACAAAUGAUACUAAAUUAAAAAAAAAGGUUUAAACACAAAUUUAAUAAUUUAUUUGGCACAGCUGUAGUAAUGUACAUAAUUGAAAAGCACUGUUGUACAAAAUAAAUGCAAAGAAGCACACAACAUAAAUACAUAUCUUUAUUAUCUCUAGAUCUAUUAAAUCAAGAUUGAUUUGAAAGAACUAUGUAAAAGUUUGCACCAAACUUGAAUAUAAAACGCACAUGUAGCAAUGUUUUUUGAAUAUGAAAAAGAAUGUUCAUUUAUGAUUAUGAUUAUAUUAAUAAUAUCUUUAUCUAAAAUAUAUGUGUAAAUUGUAUUAACAUUCUCACAGAGAAUAAGCACUGAUUAUAUAGUAGUAUUGUUAUGAAUUUUCAUAUUCAUAUUUUGACAUGAGGCAGUAUUUAAACAACACAUGAGAUCAAAUAAUGUAUAUGAGUUUUUGGAUACACUCCUAGCUCAAAUAAAAAAAAUACUGGAGUGGGUUUCACAAAAAACUUACGACUGAGAUUGAUCGUAAGUGUAAUGAAUUGGUCAUGACUUACGAUCAAUCUUAGUCGUAUGUAUUUUCGUGAAACCCACUCCUAACUACUGUAAAUUCAGAAAUUAUUGUGAGGUUUUUAUUAUUGCAAAACUUGCGACAGAGUUGUAAAAGUAAUGAUUUAAACUCGCUUUUUUAUGCCCCGUCUACGAUAGUAGUAGGGGCAUUAUGUUUUCUGGUCUGUGCGUCCGUUCGUCCGUCUGUUCGUUCGUCUGUUCGUUCGUCGUUCGUUUCGUCCGUCUGUCCCAUGUCAGGUUAAAGUUUUUGGUCGAGGUAGUUUAUGAUGAAGUUAUAGUUGCAUCCAUUUGUAACUUUACAUACAUAGUCAUUAUGAUAGGGAAUUUCUAAAAAGUACCUCAAAUUUAGGUUUUGGUCCUCAUUUCAUGGUUCAUUGAACAUGAAAAUGAGAUUGUGUGAAACAGCUCUUUGCCAGGUUAAAGUUUUUGGUCGAGGUAGUUUAUGAUGAAGUUAUAGUUGCAUCCAUUUGUAACUUUACAUACAUAGUCAUUAUGAUAGGGAAUUUCUAACCUAUGAUAUGAUCUUUCUAAUUUAAAUGCCAAAUUAGAGUUUUGACCCCAAUUUUACGGUUCACUGAACAUAGAAAAUGAUAGUGCAAAUUUCAGGUUAAAGUUUUUGGUCAAGGUAGUUUUUGAUGAAGUUGAAGUCCAAUCAACUUGAAACUUAGUAACAUGUGCCCUAUGAUAUGAUCUUUCUAAUUUAAAUGCCAAGUUAGAGUUUUGACCCCAAUUUUACGGUUCACUGAACAUAGAAAAUGAUAGUGCAAAUUUCAGGUUAAAGUUUUUGGCUUCAGGUUAAAGUUUUUGGUCAAAGUAGUUUUUGAUGAAGUUGAAGUCCAAUCAACUUGAAACUUAGUAUACAUGUGCCCUAUGAUAUGAUCUUUCUAAUUUUAAAAUGCCAAAUUAGAGUUUUGACCCCAAUUUUACGGUUCACUGAACAUAGAAAAUGAUAGUGCAAAUUUCAGGGUUAAAGUUUUUGGCUUCAGGUUAAAGUUUUUGGUCAGGUAGUUUUUGAUGAAGUUGAAGUCCAAUCAACUUGAAACUUAGUAUACAUGUGCCCUAUGAUAUGAUCUUUCUAAUUUAAAUGCCAAAUUAGAGUUUUGACCCCAAUUUUACGGUUCACUGAACAUAGAAAAUGAUAGUGCAAAUUUCAGGUUAAAGUUUUUGGCUUCAGGUUAAAGUUUUUGGUCAAGGUAGUUUUUGAUGAAGUUGAAGUCCAAUCAACUUGAAACUUAGUAUACAUGUGCCCUAUAUAUGAUCUUUCUAAUUUAAAUGCCAAAUUAGAGUUUUGACCCCAAUUUUACGGUUCACUGAACAUAGAAAAAUGAUAGUGCAAAUUUCAGGUUAAAGUUUUUGGCUUCAGGUUAAAGUUUUUGGUCAAGGUAGUUUUUGAUGAAGUUGAAGUCCAAUCAACUUGAAACUUAGUAUACAUGUGCCCUAUGAUAUGAUCUUUCUAAUUUUAAUGCCAAAUUAGAUUUUUACCCUAUUUCACGGUCCAUGGAACAUGGAAAAUGAUUGAGUGGGGCAUCCGUGUACUUUGGACACAUUCUUGUUAAUGCCCCACCUACGAUAGUAGAGGGGCAUUAUGUUUUCUGGUCUGUGCGUCCGUUCGUCCGUCUGUUCGUUCGUCCGUCUGUUCGUUCGUCCGUUCGUCCGUUCGUCCGUCUGUCCCGCUUCAGGUUUAAGUUUUUGGUCAAGGUAGUUUUUGAUGAAGUUGAAGUCCAAUCGACUUCAAACUUGGUACACAUGUUCCCUAUGAUAUGAUCUUUCUAAUUUUAAUGCCAAAUUAGAGAUUUUACCCCAAUUUUACGGUUCACUGAUAGAAAAUGAUAGUGCAAAUUUCAGGUUAAAGUUUUUGGCUUCAGGUUAAAGUUUUUGGUCAAGGUAGUUUUUGAUGAAGUUGAAGUCCAAUCAACUUGAAACUUAGUAUACAUGUGCCCUAUGAUAUGAUCUUUCUAAUUUAAAUGCCAAAUUAGAGUUUUGACCCCAAUUUUACGGUUCACUGAACAUAGAAAAUGAUAGUGCAAAUUUCAGGUUAAAGUUUUUGGCUUCAGUUAAAGUUUUGGUCAAGGUAGUUUUUGAUGAAGUUGAAGUCCAAUCAACUUGAAACUUAGUAUACAUGUGCCCUAUGAUAUGAUCUUUCUAAUUUAAAUGCCAAAUUAGAGUUUUGACCCCAAUUUUACGGUUCACUGAACAUAGAAAAUGAUAGUGCAAAUUUCAGGUUAAAGUUUUUGGUCAAGGUAGUUUUUGAUGAAGUUGAAGUCCAAUCAACUUGAAACUUAGUAUCCAUGUGCCCUAUGAUAUGAUCUUUCUAAUUUAAAUGCCAAAUUAGAGUUUUGACCCCAAUUUUACGGUUCACUGAACAUAGAAAAUGAUAGUGCAAAUUUCAGGUUAAAGUUUUUGGCUUCAGGUUAAAGUUUUUGGUCAAGGUAGUUUUUGAUGAAGUUGAAGUCCAAUCAACUUGAAACUUAGUAUACAUGUGCCCUAUGAUAUGAUCUUUCUAAUUUAAAUGCCAAAUUAGAGUUUUGACCCCAAUUUUACGGUUCACUGAACAUAGAAAAUGAUAGUGCAAAUUUCAGGUUAAAGUUUUUGGUCAAGGUAGUUUUUGAUAAAGUAGAAGUCCAAUCAACUUGAAACUUAGUAUACAUGUUCCCUUUGAUAAGAUCAUUCUAAUUUUAAUGCCAAAUUAGAGAAUUUAUUCCAAUUUCACAGUCCUUUAAACAUAGAAAAUGAUAGUGUGAGUGGGGCAUCCGUGUACUGUGGACACAUUCUUGUUUUUUAUAU